GACGAACGCUGGCGGCGUGCUUAACACAUGCAAGUCGAACGGUAAGGCCCUUCGGGGUACACGAGUGGCGAACGGGUGAGUAACACGUGGGUGAUCUGCCCUGCACUUCGGGAUAAGCCUGGGAAACUGGGUCUAAUACCGGAUAGGACCCUGGGAUGCAUGUCCUGGGGUGGAAAGCUUUUGCGGUGUGGGAUGGGCCCGCGGCCUAUCAGCUUGUUGGUGGGGUGAUGGCCUACCAAGGCGACGACGGGUAGCCGGCCUGAGAGGGUGACCGGCCACACUGGGACUGAGAUACGGCCCAGACUCCUACGGGAGGCAGCAGUGGGGAAUAUUGCACAAUGGGCGCAAGCCUGAUGCAGCGACGCCGCGUGAGGGAUGACGGCCUUCGGGUUGUAACCCGCUUUCAGCAGGGAAGAAGCCGCAAGGUGACGGUACCUGCAGAAGAAGCACCGGCUAACUACGUGCCAGCAGCCGCGGUAA
rnacentral:rRNA from 1 species